CUCAUGUAUAGUGGCAGUACUGACAAGUGGGAUAUAGCAAGAUCCCUGCAAAAAAACAUAGGGUGGGAACUUAGAAGGCCACUGCCUGGAGCACCUUACGCCCAAAAGCUGCUUCAAAGGAUGAGAAUAUGUCCAGCCUAUAAUGCUUAAUAAAGGUAUGAAAGGAAGACCAAGUAGCUGCCUUGCAGAUGUCUUCAGGUGAAGCCGCCGAUCUUUCAGCCCAGGAAUAGCCAUAGCCCUUGUGGAAUGAGUCUUCAAUGGAAAUCCAAUUGAAACACCUCGGGUCUCAUAAGCCAGUUUUAUGGUUUCCGUCAGCCACCUGGAGAUAGUAGGUCUGGAAGCCUUACUUCCCUUACCAGAGCCCUGAAAAGUGACAAAGAGAUGAUCAGAGGUCCUGAAGCACUAACAUCUAGGAGAUGCCACUUUCUUUCAAGAUCCGACAAAGGAGAUUGGCAGAAGGAAGGCAGGAUAAUAGGUUG